rnacentral:tRNA from 1 species
UGCCAUCGUCUAGUGGCCUAGGACGCCGCCUUCUCAAGGCGGAGACCGCGGGUUCAAAUCCCGCUGGCA